CAUCUCUACAUAAGGCUGCUAAUCUAAAUGAUGCUUCCACAAAUCUAUCUCAAUAGGUGCAAUAAAAACACUUUACCAAAUCUCCGAACAGUCAUUUAUCUUUUUCUACAGAUUCGAACGUUUCUAUUCGUCCCUGCAUCUUUCCUUCACCACCUUCUGAAACAGAGAUUGAAAAUUGUUCUUCAGGCUUUGAAGUCGUAAAAGAGGCUGGCCAAAACCCCUCCAGACCAUCUAGCGUUUGGAUUUAGUUCCCGAGCCCAAGAAGGGAAGUGGCAAAAAGAUGGUAUUCAAUGAAGUCCACUGGCUCCAAGGCAGAGAAAGACCAAGGAGGCGAAAGUUGAAAGUAUAACAUAUGGAAAAACAAUUGUCGAUUUGUAAAACUUGUAUGUAUGUGUCCGUUGGUUGUUAUAUGAGUUGUUGAGAUUGAGAUAGGUGAGAAGCAUCUUUGCUAGUUUCCUUAUUUUUUAUUAUUAUUUUGGUAGUAUUUUGUUUUAUAUAAGAUCAUUUAAAUU